rnacentral:lncRNA from 1 species
GUUGAAUAUGAAUGUUUCAUAUUAGAUUUUAUCCACUUAUGGAAUCCUGGCUUUGCCCAGUGGCUUAUCAACUCUGCGUGUACCGAGCAGCUAACUAAGCCAGAAGACUGGUGUUUGCUUGGCUGACUCAAGAACUGAACCGUACAGAAAUGAACAAUCAGGUCUUCAACACUGGGAUGCAAUUUCAGGAUAGUGAUCAUCUAUAGUGGGCUCAAAAGCCAAAUGAGAAGAAGGCAUUUGUGUGUUGCAACCGGGAUAGUAAUGUUCACCUAGCCCCGGAUGAGUCUGUGUGUGUUUUGUGUUUUCUGGACAUCCCAGGAUGCUGUGGUGAAACCCAGCCAACAGGAAUCACAGCAACUACAAAGAAAGAAAAAGAGAGAUUAGAAGGACCUAGUGUUCAGCCUACAAACAUUGCAUUUUCAAAAACACUUGGGGUUCUUUUCUUGGUCUGUCUUGCUGGUCAUCUGCUAAUUCCUGCAGUGUUGGACCUCUGUCCUCUCUGCCUCCGUGUCUGGAUUGCUGCUGUGCUCCCUCAGAGCUCCUUCCUGUCGGAAGACCACUCCCGAUUCCUUUAUGCACAUGGCUCCAGGGUAGGUUUUAAAUGGAGGUGGGGUUUUCUCCUUUCUUUCUGUCUCUCAUCUUAGUCCCACGUGGCUUUGAUGACAGAGGAUGGGGACAGCCUUAAUUCUGUACUUCCCUCUGCCCCUACUUUGAAUGCGGUGUUUUGAUCCUCAG